CCGCGUCGCCGAGCAGGCACUACACCAAUUGCGCAUUCGAUGCAAUCCAAUACUAUCAACGUCAAUAAGACAGUGAUUAUCAUUUAUUUGUUUACUUCACAAUUUGUUCAUAAUUGAAAAAGUAAUAAAAAUCGAUAGAUAAACGAAUUGAGCUCAGCAAUAAUACAUAGGUACAUUGUGGUCAAUGGAUGCAGUGUAAUGAAAACAGUGAAAAACCAAGACCGCGUGGUAUCGUCGCAUCCACGCCGCUAGUACGACUCCGCAAAACCUUCGUGUCUGAUCCACUGAGACUACGUAAUGGAGGCGGCAGAUCGUUCCAGCACUUGGACGCGGCGAACCUGAAACUCCCGCGGAAGGCAGUAGUACGGUGACGCGGUAUUGCCAGUGAGUAAUACGUCGAGCGAGUUUUGUACGACUUCACGUCACGUGACCACACCAAUUUCUCAGCGAGAUACGGCGGCGUAUGAUGUUUCACUACACCAAACAAGAGCGUUGCAAGAUGUAGUUGUCUCCGUGCAUUCAUCUUCAUAAUAUUGGCAUUGUUUAUAAAUGGCGUGACGUGUGUGCGUGGUGGUAUAUUGAAGCAAAAUCGUGCGCAGGCAUUUUGAACUCUUUGUAUGAGUUUUUGUGACCGGGUAAGGAGUCGCGGACCAUAUACUACAUCCAUAUAGUUAAAUUUCGACAUAACAAGAGUGUCGCAAAGUUUGAUGCGGGUCUCAGUAUUAAUAUAGUUCCUGAUUUGGUAUAAUGUCUUGAGACGAUAAAAACAAUUUGCUGCAGUGUUAACUAUAUAUUUGUCGAACCUCAGUUCUUCGUCCAUGAGAAGUCCCAAAUUCCUAGCUUCCGUGACACGCUCCACGGCUUCCCCUCUAAUGACCACAUUAGCACCUUCAUUAGAUAUUUUACUUACCUGUUGUUUAGAGCCCAAUAUCAUGUAUUUGGUUUUGCUUCCAUUCAAAACCAAUGAAUUAGACUCUGACCACAAAGUGAUCCUUUCUAGGUCAUCGUUUAAUUUGUCUAUAGCGGAAUGUGUAUCGCCGGGUUUACAUGAUAUAUAUAGUUGUAUAUCGUCAGCAUAUAUAUGAUAUUUGCAAUGCUCAAUAUGAGUUACGACAUCGGCACUAUAGAUGAUAAAUAACAGUGGGCCCAAGAUGGAGCCCUGCGGAACACCACGAGUGACAGGCCUGGGAAGGGACACCAUCGGUUCGCCAUGAUCAUUCUGUAUUUGGACGUAUUGGUUACGAUAUUUAAAGUAACUGUCGAACCAUUGAAUGGCAGAAGCACCAAAACCAUAAUAAUGUAACUUUGCCAGUAAUAGAGAAACAUCUAUGCAGUCAAACGCCCUAGAAAAGUCCAGCAGCGCCAAUACUGUACCCUGCCCGUCAUCUUGUGCGGCUAGAAUGUCGUCCACCACAUUCAGCAAAGCAGUGGUUGUACUAUAAGAUUUCCUGAAACCCGACUGUAGCUCUGGAAGCAAAGCAUUUGCUUCUAAAAACAGUCUCAUCUGCUUCGCCACGAUCUUCUCUAAGAUCUUUGAAAUGCAAGGCAAUAUGCUAAUAGGGCGCAAAUCUUUUAGGGAGGAGGGACUGGAGUUCUUUGGCAGUGGUUUGACGAUUGCACUCUGCCACAGUUUAGGAAACGUGCAGGUUUCGAUCGAUCUAUUCACAAUAGAUGUUAGCACUGACGAGAUUUCGGGUAGUGACAUUAUUAUCAUGUCUAAGGAAAUACCGUCGACGCCAACGGCGCUUGAACGAAGCGACUGUAACUCCCUCAGUACGUCCCCCUCAGAGACCUUUCUCAGUAUAAAUGUGGAAGAGAUCUUGCGUUGUUCCUUAAAAAAAAUAAGAUUUGAAACCGGCACCGAUCCCCCAUUAGGUACGUCUAGAAAGUGAUUAUUUAUUGCUUCAGGAUCCUUAAAAAUACAUGUAGGAAAAUCAGGUUUGCAUUUAAUCCUAACGUUUUUUUUUAUAUGUGUCCAGAGUGUACGAGGGUCGUUAUAGUUGGUAUUAACGUAAUGAUCAUAAUACGCUUGCUUUUCGCUCGCUAAUGCCUUCUCCACAGUAUACUUGAGAUCCUUAUAGUACGCCUUAUGGGAGCCACAGCCACUUAUACGCGCCCUAGCAUAUGCUUCAUCUCGUCUUUUCAUCAUCAUUUUUACAUUGUACGUAAUCCAAGGGUACUGGUGAUGACGCAUGCUGAAAGUUUUGGAUGGAGCGUGCAAAUCGAAUAGUGCAACAAUAGCUGAAUUAAACAUUGAUACCAUAAUAUUUACGUCGGUGACUGCUUCGACAUUGCCCCAAUCUAUUGAGGCAAGAUGAUCUCUAAAUGUGUCGACAUGUAUGUCUUUAAGUGCCCGUCGCGUGACUUUAACAGGAGAGGGUUUAAAUUUUGGUAUAUUGAGUAGGCAUGCGAUAAAGGCAUGUCUACCAAGAUCCGGAAUGUAGUCCACUGUUACUGUACACCCCUUUAUAUCGGUGCAUACUAGAUCGAUAGUCUUUUGGCUGUGAGAAGUGAAAUGCGUGUAGUCGGUGACCAGUUGCGAGAGUUUAAAAGCAGCUAAGAAUUGGUUAAGUUUUCUGACACUAGCCAAUGACGGCACGGCGACGUCAAUAUUAAAGUCGCCCAGUAGUACGACGUUACUACACCAGGUGAACGUUUCCAGGGACGAAGAAAGAGCAUCUAUAAGUAGACCCUCAGUCACCCAGUCUGGCCUGUACGCAGUACCUAUCACUAGCUUACAACUACCAACUGUGACCCCUAGCCACAUCUGUUCCACCGGUGGUGUUUGUGGAUGGGCCAGCACUCGCGCGGUGACACCACGUCGGAUAUAAAAUCCGACUCCGCCCCCCCGCUUCCGGCGCCCGGGCGGGCGUGGUGUGUUCCGCAGCCGGUAUCCCGGCACGGCAGGCGCGCGGCCCUCCUGUCCCUCCCGUAUCCAGGUCUCAUUGAUGGCCAUUACAUCUACGUUAUGACGGUCCAUCGCCACGAGAAACUCGUCAUGCCCAGUUCCCAGUGAUCCAGCAUUAAAUAGUCCAACUUUUAACUUUCGUUUAUUAUUGAAUAUUAUUAUUAUCAUAUGUUAUCUUAAAGUAUUGUAUUAGUAUUGAAUUAAAAAUUAAAAAGUAAGAAUUGCAAGAUUUUCCCACGACAUAGUAAUUUGUGCCAAUCAAAUUAUAUUGUUUUAAUAGCGUUGUAAAGUAAUGUUUAGGUAUGUGUGCAUGUUGGUGUUUGUGUAAUAAUAUAUUACCUAAGAAUGAAAAUGUACUCAUGAUAUAACGUAUACAUUUUCGAAGGUGUUUUGUUAAUAUAGUGAUUAAUAAUGAAAUACUGGAAACGAAAUAUAAUAUACUAAUCAUG
rnacentral:lncRNA from 1 species